CCUACGGGAGGCAGCAGUGGGGAAUUUUGGACAAUGGGCGCAAGCCUGAUCCAGCCAUGCCGCGUGAGUGAAGAAGGCCUUCGGGUUGUAAAGCUCUUUCGGCAGGAACGAAAUGGUUCGUGCUAAUACCACGGACUGAUGACGGUACCUGAAGAAGAAGCACCGGCUAACUACGUGCCAGCAGCCGCGGUAAUACGUAGGGUGCAGGCGUUAAUCGGAAUUACUGGGCGUAAAGCGUGCGCAGGCGGUUUCUUAAGUCAGAUGUGAAAGCCCCGGGCUUAACCUGGGAACUGCGUUUGAAACUGGGAGACUUGAGUGUGGCAGAGGGGGGUGGAAUUCCACGUGUAGCAGUGAAAUGCGUAGAUAUGUGGAGGAACACCGAUGGCGAAGGCAGCCCCCUGGGCUAACACUGACGCUCAUGCACGAAAGCGUGGGGAGCAAACAGGAUUAGAUACCCUGGUAGUCCACGCCCUAAACUAUGUCAACUGGUUGUCGGGAGAUUAACUCUCUUGGUAACGAAGCUAACGCGUGAGUUGACCGCUGGGGAGACGCGCGAGUAACGUUANAAUAGAGUUGAGNGNGNGNGNGCGAGCGACGACGAGGAGAGG
rnacentral:rRNA from 1 species